AACGUAGGGGGACAAGCGUUAUCCGGAUUUACUGGGCGUAAAGCGCCCGUAGGCGGCUUAACAAGUUGGAUGUGAAAGCUCCCGGCUUAACUGGGAGAGGUCAUUCAAAACUGUUAGGCUAGAGGAUGGAAGAGGAGAGCGGAAUUCCCGGUGUAGUGGUGGAAUGCGUAGAGAUGGGGAGAACACUCGUGGCGAAGGCGACUACCUGGCCUGUUUUUCUUGACGCUGAGGCGCGAAAGCUAGGGGGAGCAAACGGG
rnacentral:rRNA from 1 species